CUGAAGUCCACGGUAUCACAAAUGUCAGCCUAUGUAACCAGUUCUAUGCUGAUCUUGACAAACGCACACCUAGACUGUCGGCUUUGUAGCGGUACAGAAAAAAGGCAGCACGCACAGGAAAGAUAUCAGCUGGAGAAGACAGAUGAUCAUCAACACUCCUGUUGUGCUUGUAACAGCGGUGUAGAUGUUGUUGUUCAAGUCCAGUUAACAUCACUCCUGCAAGCACUGCAACGGUGGUGGAAGAUGAUCAUGUAAAAAGUGAAAUCCCCAUGUGGACCGAUGCAUUUACAUUGUUGUUUGGAUUGACACGUUGCAUUUGGACUGCCCGAGGGAACCUGUUCACACUUUGACCUUCAUUCAGAAGAUCCUGAUGGGUCUGGAUGGCAAAGAACUGAAACCGUGACUUCUCAGUCUAAAUAAUGAACUGUUUCUAACAGACCCAACUCUUCUCCGUGGAUGGCAGUCCCUCCCUCAGCCUGGCUUGAGGUUUCUUCCUGGUAAAAAUUGUUCCUUUCUACUUUUGCCAAGUACUUGCUCAUGGGGGGAGGGGAAGGGGGGUGUCAACAGAUUGUUUGUAUUUCUAUCUAAUACGAUCUUCACUUUACAAUAAAAAGUGCCUUCUCGAUGUGAA